AUUGAACGCUGGCGGCAGGCCUAACACAUGCAAGUCGAGCGGGGUUUUCGGACCUAGCGGCGGACGGGUGAGUAAUGCGUAGGAAGCUACCCGAUAGAGGGGGAUACCAGUUGGAAACGACUGUUAAUACCGCAUAAUGUCUACGGACCAAAGUGUGGGACCUUCGGGCCACAUGCUAUCGGAUGCGCCUACGUGGGAUUAGCUAGUUGGUGGGGUAAUGGCUCACCAAGGCGACGAUCCCUAGCUGGUUUGAGAGGAUGAUCAGCCACACUGGAACUGGGACACGGUCCAGACUCCUACGGGAGGCAGCAGUGGGGAAUAUUGGACAAUGGGCGCAAGCCUGAUCCAGCCAUGCCGCGUGUGUGAAGAAGGCCUUCGGGUUGUAAAGCACUUUCAGUAGGGAGGAAGGGUUAAGUGUUAAUAGUACUUAACUUUGACGUUACCUACCGAAGAAGCACCGGCUAACUCUGUGCCAGCAGCCGCAGUAACAC
rnacentral:rRNA from 1 species